CAAAGGCCUGGUCCUGACUUUACUAUCAGCUUUAGCCCAACUUAUACAUGCAAGUAUCCGCACCCCUGUGAGAAUGCCCUCAAUCCCCCAUCCGGGGACGAGGAGCCGGCAUCAGGCACACACCCCCUUGCCCAAGACGCCUUGCUACGCCACACCCCCAAGGGAAUUCAGCAGUAAUAAAUAUUAAGCCAUAAGUGAAAACUUGACUUAGUAAGGGCUAAGAGGGUCGGUAAAACUCGUGCCAGCCACCGCGGUUAUACGAGAGACCCUAGUUGACAGCUACGGCGUAAAGAGUGGUUAGGGGCCCCACCAAAAAUAAAGCCAAAGACCUCCCAAGCUGUCAAACGCACUCCGGAGGCACGAAACCCAAACACGAAAGUAGCUUUACCCAACCCCCGACGCCACGAAAGCUAGGAAACAAACUGGGAUUAGAUACCCUACUAUGCUUAGCCCUAAACUCAGAUGAAUGGCACACAAACAACAUCCGCCAGGGUACUACGAGCGCUAGCUUAAAACCCAAAGGACUUGACGGUGUCUCAGACCCGCCUAGAGGAGCCUGUUCUAGAACCGAUAAUCCCCGUUAAACCUCACCAUCCCUUGUUUUUCCCGCCUAUAUACCGCCGUCGCAAGCUUACCCUGUGAAGGGACUACAGUAAGCAAAAUGGGUAGACCCCAGAACGUCAGGUCGAGGUGUAGCUCACGGGAUGGAAAGAAAUGGGCUACAUUUUCUACAACAGAACAUCACGAACGGCACCAUGAAAUUUAGUGCCUGAAGGUGGAUUUAGCAGUAAAAAACAAACAGAGCGUGUUUUUGAAUCAGGCUCUGAGACGCGCACACACCGCCCGUCACUCUCCCCUUCACCAAACAUACACAAGUAAAUUAACCAAAAACACUUCACAGCGGGGAGGCAAGUCGUAACAUGGUAAGUGUACCGGAAGGUGCACUUGGAACAU
rnacentral:ncRNA from 1 species